GGAGAUGACAAGAGCUCAGGCGGAAGUGCCGCCGCUGCGGCUGCAGCCUCUAGUUCAGGUGAUGAUAAGGGCGGAGAUGACAAGGGCUCAGGUGGAAGUGCCGCCGCUGCGGCUGCAGCAUCUAGUUCAGGCGGA